rnacentral:rRNA from 1 species
GAUGAACGCUGGCGGCGUGCUUAACACAUGCAAGUCGAACGGGGCACCCCUGAAGGAGUUUUCGGACAACUGAUGGGACUGCUUAGUGGCGGACGGGUGAGUAACGCGUGAGUAACCUGCCUUGGAGUGGGGAAUAACAGCUGGAAACAGCUGCUAAUACCGCAUAAUGCAGUUGGGUCGCAUGGCUCUGACUGCCAAAGAUUUAUCGCUCUGAGAUGGACUCGCGUCUGAUUAGCUAGUUGGCGGGGUAACGGCCCACCAAGGCGACGAUCAGUAGCCGGACUGAGAGGUUGGCCGGCCACAUUGGGACUGAGACACGGCCCAG